rnacentral:rRNA from 1 species
GAUGAACGCUGGCGGCGUGCCUAAUACAUGCAAGUCGAGCGGACGGAGGAGGCUUUUGCCUGGCUGAUGUUACGGGCGGACGGGUGAGUACCACGAGUCUGACCGGUCUAUAAGGCUGACAUACCUUAAGGAAACCUGAUCUCACACACGUUAUGAUUUUGAACCGCAGGGUUCAUAGGUGAAAACCCGUCCUGCUGUCCCUAAUUGGUAGAUCCUGGCUGCAUUAGCUAGUUGGUAAGGUAACGGCUUACCAAGGCAACGAUGCGUAGCCGACCUGAGAGGGUGAUCAGCCACACUGGAACUGAGACACGGUCCAGACUCCUACGGGAGGCAGCAGUGGGGAAUCUUCCGCAAUGGGCGAAAGCCUGACGGAGCAACGCCGCGUGUGUGAUGAAGGUCUUCGGAUCGUAAAGCACUGUUAGUAGGGAGGAAGAUAUGUGUAAGUAACUGUGCACAUCUUGACGGUACCUAAUCAGAAAGCCACGGCUAACUACGUG